ensembl:lncRNA
AUGCCUCAACUGUACCAGUGCCCAAAGUGCACUCGAAGGACGCGUACUCUGAUGAAGUUCAUCCAACAUGUUGGACUUGUUCAUGCACAUGAGCCAAAUUUCAGUAUCACCUGUGGUGUAGGUGAUUGUCAGUCAACUUUUUCUAGAUUCCAUUCUUUCAGAAAACACGUGUAUAGGAAGCACAGAUGCUUUGUAUUUAGGCCUUACGAUAAAAAUGACAGAACCAGUGAAGACUCCACAGUACACCAACACAGCAUGAACCCGGAUCAGCAAAAUUCAGAGACUGAUCUAAGUGCUUCUCAUCUGCAAACAGUUAAUCCAAAUUUAGAUAAACUAUUACAGGAUUUCAGAGAUAACCUGUUUGCCUUUGUUCUUAAAUGCAGAGAGAAAAACCUUCUACAUUUGUCAGUCCAACAAGACAUUACUGAUGAUGUCAAAUUUCUCUUUUGCUUUUUCAAAGAAAACUAUGAUUCGUUUAUUUCUUAUCAUCUUGGAAAAAGUGGUUUUGACAUUUCAAAGUGCCCUGAACUGCAGCAAGUUUUGCACUCGUCUGAUUUCUUUGAUAAAGCUUAUGAGGUGGUUCGCUCUCCACACAUGAUUAAAGAGCACUGCAAGGCCAAGAUGGACUUUACAGAACCUGUACACUACACACUUAAGGGUUUUUCAGGGUACCAAAAAGGAACCUAUUCCUACGUUCCCAUCUCUGAAGUUUUGAAGAAAUACUGUUCUCAUGAAGAUGUAUGGGAUCAAAUACUGUCUGAAAACAACAAGGUCAAAGAUGAAGAGCUUCUUACUGACUAUGGAGAUGGUCUUUAUUUUAAGGAACAUUUGUUUUUCAGAGAACAUCCAGAUGCUUUAAGACUUCAUUUAUAUGAAGAUGAAUUUGAAAUCGUUAACCCUUUAGGCUCCAAGAGAACUAAGCAUAAGUUGUGUGCAUUUUACUACACGGUUGGAAAUUUGAGUGGAAAGUAUCGAUCUCAGCUUAAGCACAUUCACUUAGCUCUGCUGGUUCGUUACUCACAUGUGAAACAAUUUGGCAUAGACAUGAUAUUAAAACCAAUGAUAGAGGACCUGCAACAGCUUUCAACUGAAGGCGUCAUUAUAAAUGUAUGUGGAACAGAGCACAAAGUUUAUGCUGCUUUAGCCACUUUUUCAGGUGACAAUUUGUCAGCUCAUAUGAUUGGUGGCUUCCGCAUGUGUUUUCAAUCUGGCCGAAUCUGUCGUUACUGUAUGGCAACACACUCAGAAAUUAAACACAAAUUCCAGGAAGAUGGUUUUGUUCUGAGAACAGCUGAAAUUCAUGACUAUCAUCUCCAGUGUGUCCAGCAAAACAAGGAAAAUUCUGCUUUGUAUGGUGUACGGUGCACUAGUCCUUUUAAUGCACUAGGUUAUUUUGAUGUGACCAAGUCUUUGCCCCCAGACGUCAUGCAUGAUAUGCUGGAGGGAGUUCUUCCACUGACAAUGAAGCAUGUCAUUUGCCAAGCACAUAGACAAAAGCAUAUAACUAUAGCUGAGCUAAAUGAGGAGCUCCAAAAAUUCUGUAUAGGUCAGAAUGACAAAGCCAAUAAGCCUGUGCUGUUGUCUGAAAGACUUCUCAAAACUUCAGGAAUCGUAGGAACAGCUACUCAAAAAUGGUGUCUUUUCAGAUUGUUACCUUUUUUAAUGGGGCACCGUAUUCCUCCUGGCAGCAAAUAUUGGCAUGUGUUCUUAGUGUGUAGAGAGAUUGCAGAUAUUGUCAUGGCACCCAAAGUGAGGAAAGAUGAACUAGCAUAUCUGGAAAUACUUGUACACGCAUUCCUUUCUGAGAUGACAGAGGUCUUUGGAAAUGUUUUAACACCUAAAUGUCAUUAUCUUGUACAUUAUCCAAGACUAAUGUGUAUGUAUGGUCCUCUUCGUUCUCUUUGGUGUAUGCAAUUUGAGGGCAAACAUCAAUAUUUCAAGAAUCUGGCUAAUAACUGUCGAAAUUUUAGAAAUGUAACAGUGACACUGAGCAAUCGUCACCAGCUCAAACAAUGUUGGGAAUUUUUACCUAUCAAUAUCUUGGGUGAUUUUGAAAAGGUGCCUGGUAGAAGUGUCAGCACACCAUUAUUGUCUCUACCCAUUGACCUUCAGACUGCCAUAAAAGCAAGUGGCAAUUUCAAAGGUGUAGAAUUAGAGGGCAAAGUAAUUCAACGUGUCUCUGAGGUGACUGUAGACAACAUCAAGUAUGCUGUUAGAGAUGUGUUGACAAUAGAUCUUUUACAUGUUGAAAAAAUUCCGGUGUUUGGGCAGAUCAAAUACAUUCUUAACAUUGAUACCAUGUUGGUGCUCUGCAGUAAAAUGUUGCUUCCAUUGUCCUUUGACACGCAUUUUCACGCAUAUCGUGUAAAAGUAGACAGUGACUGGAUUUUGCUCAAACCCAGAGAUGAGUUGGACCACAUGUCACUUGACACAUAUACAGUUGAUGAUAAUUUGUAUGUCGGAUUGAGGCAUUUAGUAUGA